CCUUCAGCACCACCCAGCUAUGCAGAAGUGGUAACAGAGGAACAAAGGCGGAACAAUCUUGCACCAGUGAGUGCUUGUGAUGACUUUGAGAGAGCGCUUCAAGGACCACUGUUUGCAUAUAUCCAGGAGUUUCGGUUCUUGCCUCCACCUCUUUAUUCAGAGAUUGACCCAAAUCCUGAUCAGUCAGCAGAUGAUAGACCAUCCUGCCCCUCUCGUUGAAGGAACACUUGGUUGAAUCAAGUUGAUGUGAGUUCCGAACUGUAUCUCUUCCGGCUGAGGACAGAGAAGUAUCUUGGAGACACGUUUCAGAGGAAGUGGAAUUGCUUUUGCCCAGAAACAUGGCGAAUACAUGAAACAACCAGUGAUCAUGCUUUAGAAGCCUACAGCAACAUUCUGGGACUGCUCCAACAUGCUUGAAGAUCUAAGCUUUUCUCUUUUAAAACUGGCACAUACUCAGAGCAGUCUUCUUAGCCUAUGGUCGUACGUGUCAAGACAUCACAUUGUAAAGAGGGAUGAUUUCCUUCUUUUGAUUUGAAAAUUUGCACAUGCUCAAUGCUUACAUUGUGCAGUUCGAUGUCACUACAGCUUCUUUUUUUUUUUUUUUUUUUUUUUUUUGCCAGACUCUUGAUACUCUUAAAACUUGUUUGUGGUCAGCACAACAAGGAACAAAACAAAGCUUUGAAAAAACUUUAACAUGAAAAAACGCACUGACAUUUUUUUUUUAUUUAAUAUAGCCUGGACUUUACCUGCGUAUGCACAUGCUCAGAAUUGUCUACUAGGCUGACCAUGUAUCACCUCUUCAGCUUGGAUCCAGUUGUG
rnacentral:sRNA from 1 species